rnacentral:rRNA from 1 species
UACAGAGGGGGCAAGCGUUGUUCGGAAUCACUGGGCGUAAAGCGCACGUAGGCGGCUUUUUAAGUCAGGGGUGAAAUCCUGGAGCUCAACUCCAGAACUGCCUUUGAUACUGGGAGCUCGAGUCCGGGAGAGGUGAGUGGAACUCCGAGUGUAGAGGUGAAAUUCGUAGAUAUUCGGAAGAACACCAGUGGCGAAGGCGGCUCACUGGCCCGGUACUGACGCUGAGGUGCGAAAGCGUGGGGAGCAAACAGGG